rnacentral:rRNA from 1 species
UCUCGGGGUUACAGCCUUGCUGAAUUAUUCACCCUUGUCUUUUGCGUACUUCUUGUUUCCUUGGUGGGUUCGCCCACCACUAGGACAAACAUAAACCUUUUGUAAUUGCAAUCAGCGUCAGUAACAAAUUAAUAAUUACAACUUUCAACAACGGAUCUCUUGGUUCUGGCAUCGAUGAAGAACGCAGCGAAAUGCGAUAAGUAGUGUGAAUUGCAGAAUUCAGUGAAUCAUCGAAUCUUUGAACGCACAUUGCGCCCUUUGGUAUUCCAAAGGGCAUGCCUGUUCGAGCGUCAUUUGUACCCUCAAGCUUUGCUUGGUGUUGGGCGUCUUGUCUCUAGCUUUGCUGGAGACUCGCCUUAAAGUAAUUGGCAGCCGGCCUACUGGUUUCGGAGCGCAGCACAAGUCGCACUCUCUAUCAGCAAAGGUCUAGCAUCCAUUAAGCCUUUUUUUCAACUUUUGACCUCGGAUCAGGUAGGGAUACCCGCUGAACUUAAGCAUAUCAU